AUACUGCUGAAGAGUCUCAAACUAGGACGAAACAGUUGUCCAGUAC
rnacentral:hammerhead_ribozyme from 1 species